rnacentral:rRNA from 1 species
GCGGCAGGCCUAACACAUGCAAGUCGAGCGGAUGAAAGAGCUUGCUCUUAGAUUCAGCGGCGGACGGGUGAGUAAUGCCUAGGAAUCUGCCUGGUAGUGGGGGAUAACGUUUCGAAAGGAACGCUAAUACCGCAUACGUCCUACGGGAGAAAGCAGGGGACCUUCGGGCCUUGCGCUAUCAGAUGAGCCUAGGUCGGAUUAGCUAGUUGGUGAGGUAAUGGCUCACCAAGGCGACGAUCCGUAACUGGUCUGAAAGGAUGAUCAGUCACCCUGGAACUGAGACACGG